CGGGCUGUGGCGCAGCUUGGUAGCGCAUCCGCUUUGGGAGCGGAGGGUCGCAGGUUCAAAUCCUGUCAGCCCGACCA
rnacentral:tRNA from 3 species